CUCUCUUCUAUUCCUGGCCCUUUUACUCUGCACCUCCCCCGCCUGCCCCCAAUAAAUACACACACCUUGGUAGUAUUUAACGAUACCAGCAUUGGAGCUAGACCCUGGGCUCAAAUCCUAAACCUGCCACUUAUCUACUAAUUAUUUAUCUCCCAAAUUUUCCUCUUUCUGUGCCUCAGUUUCCUUACCUGUAAAAUGGGGAUAACAAGAGUGCCUUCCUUAUAGUGUUAUUGAGGUGACAGGGAGACAACGUACGUGUAUGGUGAUUGCUUGAUAAAUGUUAGGUAUUAUUGUAGCGCUUUGUUAUUUCUUUGCCUCCCUCUUUCUCUGGAUACUGAGAUAAGUUUGUUAAAAACUAGCUGUAAACUGUAAUCCACUGGGUUUUUGUUUACAUUCCUCGUCCCCUGCCCUCCUACUGCCAAUCCUCAUGUAGUCCCUUCUAAAGAGAUCCAGGAAUAGGUACUCUCAGAAUGAGGCAAAGGUUUAGGCCAAGGGUCUUUGGGAAAUGCCUUAAAGCCAAUUUUCUUGAGAAUUUUAAUGGGUCAACUUGGGAAGGCAGCCAAAGCUAUUAAUUUGUAACAGCUGCUGAGAAAUCAUUAUCAACACCUCGGGAUAGAUUCUCUCUGUUGGGCACAGAGGUUAGGCUGAAAGUCAUGAUGCCUAAAAUAAUUAUGGAGCGACAGCAUCAGAGGGGAUUACUGAUGGCAAAAUAAACAACUUUUAAAGAAAUUCACCCCCUUUGGCUGUGUCCUCCUAGAAACUCUCACCUCCUUUUCUUAGAUUGUCAGCUCAGUCUGACUACAAGCUAUGUCUUCAUAGACUUCUUAUUGGAACGUAAGGGCGAUAUAAAUCCAUGUGCCUACUAAAUAUAAGCUGAUGAUGAUACGGGCCUAGGAUAGAAAGUGAGUGACUUAAUGGGUGAGUUAGUGCCACAAAGGAGAGUCAAGGUGAAGGGGAACUUUAUCUUAAAUCUGAACAAGGGAGUAUGUUUCCUGUGAAGUCUGAUGAGAAAAAGAAGAAAAAAAAAAUUGUGGUUUGACUCCAUCACACAGAGUAAGUUACAGUGGGUCCUGCCCUGCCAUAGAACUUUAAAGACUUGAGAGGCACAUUUGUGGUUUGGUUGUGUUAUCCGAUUCUGGGGCUGAUACAUGCUGCUUUUAGUUCACGGCUGUAGAGUUUCCAGUCCUCCUUUGGGCUCUUACGUUAUGGUUUCUGAGUGGCCACACAUCUCUCUCCACUAUUCAGGUGGAACAGCCACAAGGCAUCCCCACAAACAGACCAUAAUAAUAACAGUAGUUAAAGGUCUUGGGUAGUACAAACAGUUUGCACUUGACUACUAACCUAAAAGUUGGUAGUUUGAACCCAUCCAGUGGAUCUGCAGAAGAAAGGCUUGAAGAUCUAUUUCCAUAAAGAUUGCAGCGGAGAAAACCCAACGGAGCUGUUCUACCCUGUAGCACGGAGUGGUGGUGACCUCUCUGUGUCUUCAUUUACCUUGGUCGCGUUGUGCUGACUUCCCCCAUAUUGUGUAUUGCCUUUCCCUUCACCAGAAUUAACAAGACUCUACUAUCUGGAUCCAAUCCAAGAUACUACAUUGCAUUUAGAAGCUCUUGAGUUUUGUGGAUCAUUAUUCUUCAGCUAACCCAGAAUUAGUUCCUGCCUCCUGAAACCAAGGGGCCCUAACUGAUAAGGCUCCUCAUUGCCUACAGAAUGAAGCAUACAAAGUUCUCAUCUCACAUAACAGGUUGUAUCUCACUUAAUGGCCCUUCCCUAACUAAGCUUUAAGCACCUGUUGAACGAUCCACUGCAAGCUCGCUACUAGACUGUUUAUAUCUUAUGAGCAAGGAAGGCGUCUCCUUUUGUAAGUCCUCAAGAUCCCAUGCUGGAUGGUUUGCUAUAUGUUGACCAGGUUUAAUUGAGAACCAGCUGUGACAUUAAUAACAAAAAACACAGACACAUACAAAAGGCAUUCUGUGGCUCAAAGUAGAAAUGGUUGCCAGAGACUAAGCUUACAAAGAAUCUGGGUGUAAACCAAGUUCUGGGGAUAUUUUAGAAAGUAUAUUCUGAACUCAACAAGAAAAAAAAGACAAACAGCCCAAUUUAAAACUGGGCAAAGGAAUUAAAGACACGGGUAUUCAAAGAAGAUAUGGGAAUGGACAGCAAGCACGUGAAAAGAUGCUCAACAUCAUUUAUCAUUAGGGAAACGCAACUCAAAACCACCGCAAAAUACCACUUCAUAACUACUAGGAUGGCUAUUAUCGGAAAAAUGGAAAAUAACAAGUGUUGGAGAGGAUGUAGAAAAAUUGGAACCCUUAUCCAUUGCUGAUAGGAACGCAAAAUGUUGCAACCACUGUGGAAAAGAGUUGAGCAGUUCCUCAAAAAGAUAAACAGAAUUACCAUAUGAUCCAGCAAUUCAUCUCUGAGGUGUAUUCCCCAAAAACCUGAAAGUAGGAGCUCAAAUAGGUACUUGUACACUGAUGUUCGUUGCGGCAUUAUUUACAAUAGCCAAAAGAGGGAAACAAUCCAAGUGUCCAUCAGUAGACGAAUGAAAAAACAAAAUGUGGUAUACCCAUACAAUGAAAUAUUAUUCAGCCAUAGUAGGAAUGACGUUCUGAUACAUGUUACGAUAUGGAUGAACCUUGAAAACAUUAUGCUGAGUGAAAUAAGCCGAUCACAAAGGGACAAAUAUUGUAUGAUCCCACUUAUCUGAGGUAAAUGCAUAGAGAUCAAAGUUUAUCAGGGGUUACCAGGGGCUAGGGAGAGGGGAAAAUGGGGAGUUAUUGCUUAAGGGAUACUGAGUUUUUGUUUAGUUGUUGUUAGGUGCCGCCGAGUGGGUUUUGACUCAUUGCGACCCUAUGCACAACAGAACGAAACACUGCCCAGUCCUGAGCCAUCCUAACAAUUGUUGUUAUGCUUGAGCUCAUUGUUGCAGCCUCUGUGUCAGUCCACCUCUUGAAGGUCUUCCUCUUUUGCUCUGACCCUGUACUCUGCCAAGCAUGAUGUCCUUCUCCAGGGACUGAUCCCUCCUGGCAACGUGUCCAAAGUAUGUAAGAGGCAGUCUCGCCAUCCUUGCCUCUGAAUAGCCUUCUGGCUGUACCUCUUCUAAGGCAGAUUUGUUCGUUCUCUUGGCAGUCCAUGGUAUACUCAAUAUUCAGUAUUUUGUUUAGGGAAAUGAAAAAUAUUUGGAAAUGGAUAGUGGUGAUGGUUGCACAACAUGGUGAAUAUAAUUAAUGUCACUGAAUUGUACACUUACAAAUGGUUACAAUUGCAAAUGUUUUGUUAUGUAUAUUUUACCACAAUAAAAAAUUGCUUAAUUUAAAAAAAAAGAGGAAAAAGUAUAUUCUAAAGUGUGUAUUUUAUUCCUUUGGUUGGAAAUUUAAGAUAGAGGUCCCAACUUAACCAGUCUACUGACUUCCAAUAAGGCCAAACCACUUUGGUCUUCCAUUCUGAUGUUCAGAAAGGUUAUUUGUAUCCUCAGGACAUCCUGAUGACCCAGGAG